UACGAAGGGGGCUAGCGUUGCUCGGAAUUACUGGGCGUAAAGCGCACGUAGGCGGCUUUCUAAGUCGGGGGUGAAAUCCUGGAGCUCAACUCCAGAACUGCCUUCGAUACUGGAGAGCUUGAGUCCGGAAGAGGAGAGUGGAAUUCCUGGUGUAGCGGUGAAAUGCGCAGAUAUCAGGAAGAACACCCGUGGCUAAGGCGGCUCUCUAGUACGGUACUGACGCUGAGACGCGAAAGCGUGGGGAGCGAACAGG
rnacentral:rRNA from 1 species